GAUGAACGCUGGCGGCGUGCUUAACACAUGCAAGUCGAGCGGGCAAUUUAUCUAGCACUGAUUACUUCAAAUGGAAAUCAUAAGUGUAAUCAUGAAUUUCUACCUUUAAUAAGGGAAAAAGAAAUUCAUGUACGCAAAUAGUGAUAACACAUGAAAGUGGAGUGAUGAGUGCUGGAUAAAUUGCUAGCGGCGGACGGGUGCGUAACACGUGGGUAACCUGCCCCUAUCACUGGGAUAACACACUGAAAAGUGUGCUAAUACCAGAUAAUAUAAGCUUUUGGCAUCAUUAGCUUAUCAAAGAAUUUCGGAUAGGGAUGGGCCCGCGUCUGAUUAGCUAGUUGGUGAGGUAACGGCUCACCAAGGGCAACGAUCAGUAGCCGACCUGAGAGGGUGAUCGGCCACACUGGAACUGAGACACGGUCCAGACUCCUACGGGAGGCAGCAGUGGGGAAUAUUGCACAAUGGGCGAAAG
rnacentral:rRNA from 1 species